CAGGGUCGGCUGCCAGGAUGGC
rnacentral:miRNA from 1 species